rnacentral:lncRNA from 1 species
GAGACCUCAACCAAAAGCAAACCCAUCCUAAAACAUCAUGCAAACCUGUUCCAAUCAUCACAAAACCUCAAACAACACCAAAAUCAUCCAAUUACAUCGAAUUCAAGCCUAAGUUCUUCUAAAACUUCCACAAAACGCAUUUGAUCAAACACCCAACCAAAUCACCUCCGAAUGACCUGAAAUUUUACACACACAUACCAAAACACAUAACCAAGCUACAGAAACUCCAUGAAUUCCAUUCCGACCCUCGAAUCAAAAUCACCUAUCAACCGGAAUUCGCCAAAAUACUAACUUUGCCAAUUCAAGCCUAAUUCUACACGAGACCUCCAAAACCAAACCGAUCAUGCUCCUAAG